AAGUCGUAACAAGGUUUCCGUAGGUGAACCUGCGGAAGGAUCAUUAAUGAAUUUUGUCCGGGGCCGAUGCUGGCCUCUUCAGGCAUGUGCUCGCCCCGUUCAUAUCCUCUCACACCUGUGCACUCUCGCGUGGGCUGGCAUCCCCGCCGGCCUGCGUCUUCUCACAAACUCUUGCAUGGUCAUACGCAUGGUACCGAUGCCGUGAAACGCAUCUCAUACAACUUUCAACAACGGAUCUCUUGGCUCUC
rnacentral:misc_RNA from 1 species